rnacentral:rRNA from 1 species
CCCUUAGAUGUUCUGGGCUGCACGCGCGCUACACUGAUGCAUCCAGCGAGUUGUAACCUUGCUUGGUAAAGUUUGGUAAUCUGAGCCUAAUGUGCAUCGUGAUGGGAAUAGAGUUUUGCAACUAUUAGUCUUGAACGAGGAAUUCCUCGUAAGCACGAGUCAUCAGCUUGUGCUGAUUACGUCCCUGCCCUUUGUACACACCGCCCGUCGCACCUACCGAUUGAAUGGUCCGGUGAAAUCUCGGGACGGCGGCUUGGUCGCUUGCGUCCGACUGCUGAAACUUGAUUAAACCAUAUCAUUUAGAGGAAGGUGAANUCGUAACA